GUUUGGUUAGCAUGACAAAUCAUGUUAAAUGUUAUUAUCAUGAGUUAACCUGCUGUUUGGUUGCUUUGUUUGAUAACAUGAGGCCCGAUGUCGGCCCGUCAAAGCCCGAACUGUUCAUCCAAAUAACAUGUGUUUCGUAUCAGCAUUUGAGGCACCGAUUAUAAUCAUGCCUCGACUCCCGUGCCCGAUACAGCAUCAACAUUUCCAUUUUGCCCUCUAUACGUGAUUUGAAUUUUGGAAACACCUCCUCCAAUAAUUCAUCCCCAAACCUUGUGUGAAACCACUGCAGACACACCCUACAAUUGAAGCCAGAGAUUGUUACAACACUUGAGGACUCCAUACCCCCACGCACAAAAGGGGGUCGGCGUUAGGGAUCCGAUUCGUCCACCGGAAUCGGUCGACAUAAACAUCAGCAAGUUUUCGCCCAAAUUUCAGACGGUUAGUUAUUGAUGCUCCAGUUCAUAAACAAUCGACUCUUUCCAUUUGUGUUUUUAUUUUUUACGUGCUUGAUUUUCCAGAUCUCCUUUUGUGCUUUAUUUUUUAUGUGCUUGAUUUUCCAGAUCUCCUCUUGUUCUUUAUUUUUAGGUGUUGAGCUUUAUUAUUGCUAAGAAUUUUUAAUCUCUAUUAGUAGUAUAUUGGUUUAUAGAAAUGGAAGACCAGUUUCUCUGCAGAGUAAAUAGUUCUCGUUAGUAUGCACACAGAGUUUGUAUUGACAAGUUGUAUCUGUUCAUAACUUGAGUUUGCAGCCAAAUUUGAGUACGUGUAUGUGCAUCACAUGACUGUGUAUUCGUUAGUAAAGUGAGUCUUUACUGAAUCUAGAGUUCUCUAAAGGCAAUUUUAUG